rnacentral:rRNA from 1 species
CCUACGGGUGGCUGCAGUGGGGAAUAUUGGACAAUGGGCGAAAGCCUGAUCCAGCCAUGCCGCGUGUGUGAAGAAGGCCUUCGGGUUGUAAAGCACUUUCAGUGGGGAAGAAAGCCUUGGGGCUAAUACCCUCGAGGAAGGACAUCACCCACAGAAGAAGCACCGGCUAACUCCGUGCCAGCAGCCGCGGUAAUACGGAGGGUGCAAGCGUUAAUCGGAAUUACUGGGCGUAAAGCGCGCGUAGGCGGUCUGAUAAGCCGGUUGUGAAAGCCCCGGGCUCAACCUGGGAACGGCAUCCGGAACUGUCAGGCUAGAGUGCAGGAGAGGAAGGUAGAAUUCCCGGUGUAGCGGUGAAAUGCGUAGAGAUCGGGAGGAAUACCAGUGGCGAAGGCGGCCUUCUGGACUGACACUGACGCUGAGGUGCGAAAGCGUGGGUAGCAAACAGGAUUAGAUACCCUAGUAGUC